rnacentral:rRNA from 1 species
CCCUUGGAUGUUCUGGGCCGCACGCGCGCUACACUGAUACAUGCAACGAGUUUAUAACCUUGAUCUGACGGUCUGGGUAAUCUUCAAACUGUAUCGUGUUAGGGAUCGAUUCUUGCAAUUUUUAAUCGUAAACGAGGAAUUCCUAGUAAACGCAAGUCAUCAGCUUGCAUUGAUUACGUCCCUGCCCUUUGUACACACCGCCCGUCGACUCUACCGAUUGAAUGGUUCGGUGAAAACUUUGGACUGUGGCAUUGUCCUUCAUUGGACUUCGCCGUAGGAAAUUGUUUAAACCUCAUCAUUUAGAGGAAGAAUAAGUCGUANCA